GCUCUGUCCAAGUUGGGGACCUAAAAUCCCACAAGCAUCUCCAUAUGAACCUCAGAAAUUUUCACUGCCACUGCAGUUCAGUGAAACAGCUUUCGUAGCUCACAGCAGCACCAUACCGUGGUUAUGAGCACCAAAUACUGAAGAAUAAAUCCAGUAAAGCCACAGGGGCAUUUAGGGAUGCAAAGAUAUUAUAUUCCAAACUGGUAGCAACACAUGCAGUGAAGGUUAUCUGACACUUUACUUUCCCAGGUGCUGGCUUCAGCUGCCUAUAAUUUUGUCAUCAACUUGAAAGUUUUCUGCCUCAGAUGCCUAUUUCAAGUUGAAGUUUCAGAUCAAGUUGUUUCCCAAUAUUCCCAGAAUGAGGAUGUUGUCAAUGAGGUGAGCACCAUUGGCAUCAAGUGGUUGAAGAUACUAGGAAAAAAUUCUUCUCCAAAACAGUGGUCGGGCACUGGCACAGGCUGCUCAUGAGAUGGUGGAGUCAGCAUCCCUGGAGGUGUUUUAGAAAGGUGGAGAUAUGGCACUUCGGGACACAGUUUGGUGAGCAAUAGUGGUAGUAGGUGGACGGUUGGACUGGAUUCUGUUCUAUGAAGAAGUCACCCCACCAACAUGUCCCAGUGACCGCUGGUGCAGCCAAAGCACUCUCAGACCAUCAGCUGCUGCUGGGAAAGCUCACACAGACACUAAUAGGCAAUAAAACCGCCGUCUUCACAGAUCCAGUAUCAAGUGGGCCACACUCGGCAGUCCCCCAGACAGCUUUCCUCACAGAAGAAGGGGAAACCAACACCAUGGGCACUGAAAAAUGCCUGUGGGAAUUAGGAAAGUAGCUGGAAAAGUGUUGUUAGCAGAGGGGAAGAGAGCUGGAGCGAGUGGACAUGGUGCCAGGAGGGAGGGCAGGGGGUGGGCUUCAGGUGCAGCAGGAGUUUGCAGAGUGAUGGGAGAUGGGAGCAGGACAUGAUGGGAGGAGAAGGGAGAAGAGAAUGGUUGGGGACAUCGGCACCAGAUUCACCUCCAAAAGCCAGGACCAGGGGCAGUUGUUCCGAAUUUGUGCAUUACUCUUCUGCUCCAUUUUUCAGGCUGGAAAAGAAGAGUCUGUUGUACUGCGCCAUAUGGGCCUAUCCUGGGGAGAAAAGAACCUCAGGGGAUCUCCUGCGCUGCUGUAAAUUCUUAUUUCAUUAUGGAACUCAUUUCAGUGAUGGCUGAAAAGUGAAGACUAC
rnacentral:lncRNA from 1 species